AUGCUAUAUCGGUAUUAAAGGGUAGUGGAAUACGACCUUUACCACCACUAGUAUUAAUUAACACUUCGACUAUCGAUUGCCUUCCAUUGUUUAUCGCGCGAAAAAGCCGCCGUUUUCUUAAUUUCCUCGUUUACGACCAAUUUAAUUUCUUUUGUUGUGGCUGCUUAAUGAGCCGCACAAUGGAGUCCGUGAAAAGCCACUCAAAGUGCUCUACGACCCUGCAGGAAGGUGUGAACACGGGGCAGACGGCUGUCAAGUUCAAGUUCGGCUGAGAAUUGUUUUGGGCAGAUUCGUAUCGGGCCACCACCGCCAGCCACAAGGCAGUAGCUUCGCAGCCGCAGCCCGCACCAUCAUCAUCAUCUACUGCUCGUGGAGGUUCUAUGUUGUUUUUAGUUUUCAAUUGCUCGCUUCACGCCAUGCAACGCUAACGGCCUUGCUAAACAAUAGAUUCAGCCGCCAGUCGCUGUCGUCGGUUGCUGCCUUCGCCGUCUGUGCCUCCUGCACUUUUGCCUCCGCCUCCACCUCCGCCUCUGCUACUGCCUGCUACCUGUGUAUCUCUGCCACUAUGCGGCUGCUACUUUUAUCAAUUGACAGGCGUCGGCGGCGUCACAAUAAGCAGCACAUGCACUCAACUGAGGGAACAGCAGCCCCGGCGAUGCAACAAUUAAAGGCGUGCGAGUAAAGAUGUGCGAAACCGAUGUGGGGAUGCUGAUGUAGAUGAUGAUGCGGCUGCUGAACGGCUCCCAUGACAUUGAGCGGCGCGCCGUGUGUGCCAGGCCCCGGGAACGACUACAAUGAGCAAUUUUUCGAAGCCAAGCGGUUGGAUGGAUGGCUGGAUGGAUGGCUCGCUCGCUCGAAUGCUUGUUAACAGCCACAAUGACAACGGCAGACAGAUGACGACGUUGCACGUCAACGCUCAAGUGCAUCCGUUAUAACUGUCAAUGGGCAUUAACUCUUGUGGCGCACUGUGUCGCCGCUCUCUGCUCUGCUGUUGUUUUCGGCAACAGGUCCAGUGGACAAAGAUCUAAUCAAUUUUUGUCUGAACUCGACAGCGGCUGCGACCACCUUGAUGUUCAUGUCCCGAACCCGACAACAGCGACGACGACGACGACUUGAGGCCAAUUUACUUUACUUUUCAUUCAUGUUGUACUACGGCGGGUACUACGGCAGUGGGAAUAACCCAGAAGGAAAAGAAUAAGAGAAAAAACUCUGCAGUUGCAGUUGCAGUUGCAGUUUGCAGUUUGCAGUUUGUGGCAAAGCGAAAGACUCUGGCAGCGAACUUGCGGCACUCACUCUUCUGGAAAAGCUCAAAACGAAAUGGAGGGAGAGAUUCUUUUCCACAGAAGUGGAACCUCAAACGAAAGACUGUGGCAACGAACUUGCCGGAGAACAUUUUCGGGAAAAGUCGAACAGGGAAAAGGAACAGAGCGCUUUCUUGGGACUUGGGAAGGAUUAGCGGCUUUUGCAGUUCUUUAAACGGACGGAAGACAGGGAAUGUCACAGAAGUUCCACUGUUCUAAUCCACACCUUUUCCACCAUCGUACUCGUACAGCCAAGAAGUCAAAGAACUACAACAGCAUUUAGUUGAUGAUGGGACUUGAAGAGCUUGUGGAUUUCUUGCUGACGCACCGGCAUCAUCUCCAUCAUCAUCACCAUGAUCUCUGACGAAGAGGCACAUCAAUCAAAUGCCUCAUUGUACAUUGUUUUUACACAUUUCGACUACAAGGGCCGUCACUUGAACUUGACAUUUGGUGUAAGUGACUAUUAGGGGAAGUGCCAUGAGAAGGUUCUUCUUCUCGUUCCGAGUCCAGCCCAGAGACAGAGUCAGAGUCAGUGUCGGAGUCAGAGCCAAGCCUUUGGCAAUUAGCCGUGAAUAUCAAUCAGCGCACCAUUUGAGUGGAAAAACCGCUCAGCUUUUAAUUACACAAAAAGCUCUUUGUGCUGUGCUGUGUGUGGGACUGAGAGUGGCUCGAAGGCCUCCCAUGUCCCCGCCCACGGUCACCACAACGCCUCUGCAACACACACCCGACUCAAUCUCGGAUGUCGAUGGCGAUGUGGCUCUGGCUGUCGAUGUUUGUUACCAAGUCGCUUGUUAGAAUCUCACUUUUUCUCUCUUUCUCAUACAUAUAUGCAAAGCGGGCUUGUUGUUGUUCUCGGUCUUAGCCCCGGCUUGCGGGUAAUAAGCCAAUUGGCGUUGGCCACACUGCUCGUACAUUUUAAUCAAGCCAACAGAGUUGUAAAGCCCACGCACCAUCCAAGCCAAAUAUGUUCCGAGGUGUCGCCAAAGCUGUGAGAUGGCGGCAGCUGUCGACCUUCGCGGCGUUGACUCAUGGCCUGUCCCUGUCCAUAACCGACCAACUAGCUAGAACCGGAGCUGAUGAAAUUGAGGAGGAUUUUUGGGAAUACUUGGGGCGGAAAACCCGAAAGGCAAUGACCAAAGAUCAUGCAGUGCUAAAACAAGAAUUUCUUGGCCAGAAUUUGGUUAAAAGUUUUGCUGAAUCUUCUAGGUUUCUAGUCGUCUUGAACUGUCAUAAUAUUCUCCACGCUUCUUGAAUGCUUCUUGCUAAUACUUUUUUCAGGCGCCAUUCAGGCGAUAGUUCCUUCCAUUUUGAGGAAACCAGAAGUGACUGUCGAGCUUAAUUAACAGAAGCGCCUAGUCCGACAACGUCUCGUACUUCUAUGGCUACUGUUGACUAUAUCACUUACUGCGGUGGCUGGCUGAGGCCUGAGGGGUGUCUGGCCACUGGCCACUGGCCACUGGGCACCGGCCACCGGUUGCCGGUUGCUGGUUGCCAAUUCGAUUAGGCCACGCAAAUGUAAUUUAAUAAAUGCGGUUGCCCAUGUUGAUUAGCAUGUGCGGUUUUAGCAAUUUACGAGUAGUGGCACGCAUCCGCGCAUCCACAGGAUAUGAGCUGGCACUACGACAAUGACAGGAUGCGUCAGUGCUCUCUGAAGUCAAGGCGAACUCCAAGCUGAACUCCGCACCGAACUCUCCACCGCUGGUCUGGAGACAGGAGAAAUGUUUAUGGUUAUGUGCUCGCCUGCGGUGGCAGCUUCAAACGCUUGGUGAUUGAAUUUUAAAUUGUGGCUGUACGUGCAGCAGGCUCCCCAUGCUCUCUGCUGUGGCAAGAUUAAUUUAAAUGAAGUUAUUAGCCAGCCCGAUUGUGCAUUGACAGGGCGCAAACAAAAGACCUAGGCUCCAGCUUCAGCUUCAGCGCCAGUGCCAGCCCCUGCUCCAGGUCCAACUCCUACUCCGACUGCAGCUUAAGGUGCCCUGAUAUGGGGAUAUGGGAUAUACAAUAUGCAUGUCUACAACGGGUUUUCGUCUGGCACAUUGUUGUACGAGUGCCCGCAGUAGUAGUUGUUGCUCUGCAUUUGAAAGUUAAAUUACGGUAGCGAUAUCGGAGCAGACAUUCCGUUAAUUGGCCGCACAACAGGCGGAGAUCUGGCUGCGGCUAGUAGCUGUCGUUGCUCUUCAGGAAGAGAUGUUGGUGUUCUGGAUACUCUUUUUUUUUUUACAGGAAUUAAAGAAUUUUUGGUAUUUCCCAGAAGUUUUACCAGAGAUCUCUAGAGCGAGGGGCUAUGGGAGCAACAUUUUAGAAUCAAGCCUUAAGAUAUUCGGGGGAUUAUUUUCUUAUGCGAUGUAUGGGAUGUUGCACGAGGGAUGAAGAAGAGUAGGGACUAUCUCUAACAAUUUUGUAAGAUUUUAGAACAUUUUUAGCAGUCGUUUUUGCAUAUGUUUUUUCAAAUAGGAAAGACACUUUCCACGGAAGCUUGAAGUGGAUUUUAAUCCCUCCUUUUUGUGUUGAUUAUUCCGAUUAUUCGUACAUAUAGAAUCAAAGGUUUGGGUCAGAAAAAAUAUGCUCGAAACCGAGAAGUUUAUACGAACAAAUAGAACUGUGUUAUAGAUUGAAACUGUAUUCCAUUUAGCUACUUUUUUGUGUAUCUUUUUGUAAGUGCAACCAAUCUUCGCUGUGCCCCAGCAGCAUUACCUUCUGUCUGUUUUUUUGUUUUUCUUAUUUUGGCUAAGUCCGCUUUACAGUUGCUACGAAAAUUGUUGCAAAUUGCAGUUUAAAAAGUUUCCGUGUUGGCUGUUGCGCGGCACCAACGUUGUUGGUGGCGGCAUCGGCAGCGGCAGCGCCAGAGUCUGCGACUCGACGGCGACUGCAACUAAUAUGAGUCAUAAAUUUAAAGGCUUAACUCGAGAUGGAGGCUGUGCCGUUGACAGGGAUUUUUUAAAUGAAAUAAAUAAACGGCAUUACAGCUAGUUAUAUGCAGCGAGAUCAGGGUCUUGUGCGGCAUAAACCACGGCAACAACUACAGCAACAGCGACGGCAACAGCGACAUCUGUGUGACAGAGUGUUGGUGGCGGCACUCGAAUGUUGAACUGAAUCUGAAUCGGAACUCACUCGUAACUGGGCUGGGCCAAAGUCGUCUGGUUACUUUUGCAUUUGGUUGCAUGCUGCCCCGUCUCUGCAUGAGACGAAGCCAUUUUAUUGAUACAGAUACUCGUAGAGGCCAAAAUUUGGGGUCCACUAAAACCAAAGAGCCGCUUGAUGUCUGCUGUUUUUUUUGGCAAUUCCUUUGCCACGGACCCGCAGCAUGACAUCAUUUUGAGUUACUCCGAAUCCGAAGCCGAAUCCCAAUUCAGGUCUUUUGUGGCUGCAGCAGCCCUACACAGCGAAAAAACUGGUCGCCGUUUUACUUUCGCUUUUGUGUUGAUCUUUUGCUGACUUCGUUUCGGUUUCUGUGCUGCUGCUUUUUUGGCAGAGAUGUUUCGAUGGUCUCCAUUUUUCUGUUUUUGGGUCAUCCCAAAGAAGUAUCCGCGUAUAUGGCAAUGAAAACGAAACCGAGUUCUGGUGAAAGUAGGCUGGAAAACGCAUAACAAGUGCAAGUCAAAGGAGGACCACAUGGUCGGUGCCGUGGCACGCUGAGCGAUUGUGUCAUGGUUGGAGCCCACGCAUCGCAUCGCAUAGCAUCGCAUCGCCCACAAAGCCACCAAAAGCCUCCACAGACUAAUGAUGUUAGACGCUUCGAAGACAGACAACAGGCACAGGUUGGCACUGACUUAGGCCUUAGCUUUUGCUUUAGAUUUGGUUUUGGCUUUGGGUUUCGUCUUCAAGUGAUUUGCUCAUCUGGUUCGGUGCCCACACAGUUUGACUCUUUUUGGCUAUGCGGCAGUCAGAAGAGAUCAAUGCGAAAUGCCUUUUGUGCGAAAAUUAAUUAGAAUUUUGUGGCUUUGGAUAUUGGCUGCUCCGAUGCUUUGGCUGCUCUGAUGCUCUGGCUGGGAAAAGACCUUGAGUGGCAGCUCCAAUCGAACCAAAGUUGCGGUUCAAGAGACUGUGUGGGAUGCAGAAACUAGUUGGGGAUCAGAGCAGCCAAAUGAGUCAGUGUCUCGGCAAACGCUUGGGUCAUCGUAGAUCGUAAUGGCUCUGAUGGAAUGGAGAUGGAAUGGAGCCUCGCAACAUGACUUACGAAUUACACAAAAUCGCUUGUAUCAAUCUUCAGCCCGGUUGAAAGUAGCCAAAUCUCUUUCCCACGAGUUUCACUUGGCUAUAAAACUUCAGUUUUAUUUGCAUUCAAUAAAGGUUUCAUCGACCAAUGCCGCUUGUUGGCCAAGUCUUUGUUUCCUACUGCAAUAAAUCGCGAAAAGUCUCGAUAAGUGUACCAAGAGUGCUGUAGACUGAAACAAGUUUCUUUCUUAAGUCUUUCGAUCUUGCAAUUAAAAUCUCUCCCUCUGAUAGAGAUCUCUGCAAACUGUGAUAGAUGUGUCGCCUUAUGCCGGGGCUCUUCUGGGGUUUGGAAGGGGAGUCGCCAGCGAAGCAUUCACUGGGUUUUUUGGGUCCCUUGGCUCAUUUAAUUGUGGCAAUUUCUUUCGCCCACGCAGCGAGUGAGUCAAGCGCUUUGGCUCAUAAUUUAUAGGCAUUAUUAUUGUAAUUUCUCCCAGACGCCGCGGCAGAUCGCACGCAAAACAAUCAGACAUACACGUAAAGUGAAAGUUUUGCACCUUUUGCCGCACAGCAAACAGCUAACAAACGCAUCGGCACUACCAGCUUGAAGAAAACAAAAGUAGUCAGGCAGUCAGUCAGUCAGUCAGGCGGUUUGAAAAAUCAGUUAGCGAGUCAGUCAGUCAGUGCGAUCCCCAAAAGAUGAGCCACGAACUCCAACCAAAGUACUACCUACGACCAGACCAAAGACAAUGGCUUUCAAAUGACUGGCAGCAACUCGUGGCUUUGGCUCCAACCAAAACUGGCGCCGACUGACUGACAAAUGAGAGCUGCAGUAGUCGCCUUUUUCUGACCAAAAAAAAAA